AGCUUUGUGCAGUGGCAAUAUCGUAGCCAGUGAGAUGUGUCUGAGGCGCAAUUAUUGCUAAUUGAAAAUACUUAGAGGUGAAUGAAAAUGAAGUUUAAUAUAAUCAGAACAUGGGAUGCAAUACCAACAGUGUUAAAGGAAAUAUAUAGUUAUA
rnacentral:snRNA from 12 species